rnacentral:rRNA from 1 species
ACAGGGAUUGCCCUAGUAACGGCGAGUGAAGCGGCAACAGCUCAAAUUUGAAAUCUGGCUCUUUCAGAGUCCGAGUUGUAAUUUGCAGAGGGCGCUUUGGCUUUGGCAGCGGUCCAAGUUCCUUGGAACAGGACGUCACAGAGGGUGAGAAUCCCGUACGUGGUCGCUAGCUAUUGCCGUGUAAAGCCCCUUCGACGAGUCGAGUUGUUUGGGAAUGCAGCUCUAAAUGGGAGGUAAAUUUCUUCUAAAGCUAAAUAUUGGCCAGAGACCGAUAGCGCACAAGUAGAGUGAUCGAAAGAUGAAAAGCACUUUGGAAAGAGAGUCAAACAGCACGUGAAAUUGUUGAAAGGGAAGCGCUUGCAGCCAGACUUGCUUGCAGUUGCUCAUCCGGGCUUUUGCCCGGUGCACUCUUCUGCAGGCAGGCCAGCAUCAGUUUGGGCGGUGGGAUAAAGGUCUCUGUCACGUACCUCUCUUCGGGGAGGCCUUAUAGGGGAGGCGACAUACCACCAGCCUGGACUGAGGUCCGCGCAUCUGCUAGGAUGCUGGCGUAAUGGCUGUAAGCGGCCCGUCUUGAAACACGGACCAAGGAGUCUAACAUCUAUGCGAGUGUUUGGGUGUCAAGCCCGAGCGCGUAAUGAAAGUGAACGGAGGUGGGAACCCGCAAGGGCGCACCAUCGACCGAUCCUGAAGUUUACGGAAGGAUUUGAGUAAGAGCAUGGCUGUUGGGACCCGAAAGAUGGUGAACUAUGCUUGAAUAGGGUGAAGCCAGAGGAAACUCUGGUGGAGGCUCGCAGCGGUUCUGACGUGCAAAUCGAUCGUCAAAUUUGGGCAUAGGGGCGAAAGACUAAUCGA